GGCACGGUGGCGAAGUGGCAACGCAGCUGUCUGCAAAACAGCCAUUCAGCGGUUCGAAUCCGCUCCGUGCCUC
rnacentral:tRNA from 1 species